rnacentral:rRNA from 1 species
AUGGACGCCGCGCAAUUCAGAGCCCAAAGCAUAAUCUUCAUCUGCCAUGGGAUUGCAGCAGAGUGCAGUGUAUCAAUGAGAGAUACUGCCUCCCGUUUGGUGCGCGCCGGGUACGCCGUCUACGGGAUAGACCACGAGGGGCACGGCAGGUCGUCUGGCCGGAGAUGCUACGUGCCGAACUUCAGCGACGUCGUCGCCGACUGCUCCCGCCAUUUCAUGAGCGUCUGCGAUAAGCCGGAGAACAGGGGGAAGAAGCGGUUCCUGUACGGGAUCUCCAUGGGCGGGAGCAUAGCGCUCCUCCUCCACAGGAAGGAGCCAGCCUACUGGGACGGCGCCGUUCUGCUUGCUCCAAUGUGCAAGAUUUCUGAUGACAUGAGACCUCAUCCGGUGGUGGUGAGCGCUCUGAAGAUGGUAUGCGCGGUGGCUCCCGGUUGGAGGAUCAUACCCAUCCCGGACAUCAUCGACAAGGUUUGCAAAGAUCCAGAGAUAAGAAAAAAGGUUCGCUCAAAUCCGUAUAUUUACAGGGGAAAGCUCCCAUUGAAGACCUGCCAUGAACUCCUCAUGGUGAGCCUGGACAUCGAGAAGAACCUGCACGAGGUGAGCCUGCCGUUCUUGGUGCUGCACGGUGGAGACGACAUCGUGACGGAUCCUUUGGUGAGCAAGCUGCUGUUCGAGGAAGCGUCGAGCGGGGACAAGGACUUGAAGCUCUACCCUGGGAUGUGGCACGCGCUCAUGGCGGAGCUCCCCCAGGACGCCGAGCGCGUCUACUCCGACAUCAUCUCUUGGCUGGACCAGAGGGCGAAUUGUGCAGCUAAUGUUUCCGUAGUGAAUACUGGCACGGCAAGCGCCUAG